AGGCUGGUGGAAAUAUGGAAUGGGCUGCCAGAGGAGAGAGGUGAGGCGGGUACUAUUACAACGUUUAAGUAACAUUUAGACAGGUACAUGGUGAGGACAGGUUUAGAGGGAUAUGGGCCAAACGCAGGCAGGUGGAACUAGUGUAGAUCAGACAUGUUGGCCGAUGUGGACAAGUUGGGCUGAAGAGCCUGUUUCCACAUUGCAAGACUCUAUGAUUCUAAGGAGGUUUUGUUGCAAUUGAAUAUGGAUUGCACCUGGGGCAGUGUACAACAGUCUUUGGUUUGCUUACCCAUAGAAAAUGCAGCAAGGAUUCACUAGAUGGUGGGUCUGCCACUGUAUUCGUUGGUAUUUAGGAGAGUGUGAAAUCUCACUCUUCUCUGCUCCGUCCAAGACCAAAACAAAAAAGCUUUACACUAUAUCUCAGUGCAUGUGACAA